rnacentral:sRNA from 1 species
UACUAGCCCAGAUAGUAGUGAAAAUCCUUAUGAGCCGGGGUUCGGCGAUUAAGAUUGAAACGAAUAGCUGGAAGUAGC